ACGCAAUAGAUACCCGGGUAGUCCACGCCCUAAACGAUGUCUACUAGUUGUCGGGUCUUAAUUGACUUGGUAAACGCAGCUAAACGCGUGAAGUAGACCGCCUGGGGAGUACGGUCGCAAGAUUAAAACUCAAAGGAAUUGACGGGGACCCGCACAAGCGGUGGAUGAUGUGGAUUAAUUCGAUGCAACGCGAAAAACCUUACCUACCCUUGACAUGGAUGGAAUCCUUGAGAGAUUGAGGAGUGCCCGAAAGGGAACCAUUACACAGGUGCUGCAUGGCUGUCGUCAGCUCGUGUCGUGAGAUGUUGGGUUAAGUCCCGCAACGAGCGCAACCCUUGUCAUUAGUUGCUACGAAGGGCACUCUAAUGAGACUGCCGGUGACAACCGGAGAAGGUGGGGAUGACGUCAAGUCCUCAUGGCCCUUAUGGUAGGGCUUCACACGUCAUACAAUGGUACAUACAGAGGGCCGCAACCCGCAGGGGAGCUAAUCCCAGAAAGUGUAUCGUAGUCCGGAUUGUAGUCUGCAACUCGACUGC
rnacentral:rRNA from 1 species